GAUGAACGCUGGCGGCGUGCCUAAUACAUGCAAGUCGAGCGAAUGGAUUAAGAGCUUGCUCUUAUGAAGUUAGCGGCGGACGGGUGAGUAACACGUGGGUAACCUGCCCAUAAGACUGGGAUAACUCCGGGAAACCGGGGCUAAUACCGGAUAACAUUUUGAACCGCAUGGUUCGAAUUUGAAAGGCGGCUUCGGCUGUCACUUAUGGAUGGACCCGCGUCGCAUUAGCUAGUUGGUGAGGUAACGGCUCAACAAGGCAACGAUGCGUAGCCGACCUGAGAGGGUGAUCGGCCACACUGGGACUGAGACACGGCCCAGACUCCUACGGGGGGCAGCAGUAGGGAAUCUUCCGGAAUGGACGAAAGUCGGACGAAGCAACGCCGCGUGAGUGAUGAAGGCUUUCGGGUCGUAAAACUCUGUUGUUAGGGAAGAACAAGUGCUAGUUGAAUAAGCUGGCACCUUGACGGUACCUAACCAGAAAGCCACGGCUAACCACGUGCCAGCCGCCGCAGUAA
rnacentral:rRNA from 1 species